UUAAUCAAACUCACCUUACAGCCAAUUGAUGUUGCUUCUGCACGACGUUACCGAGGAAAUAAUCACAUAUUUACCGCACGUUUCACUGCUGUUGCACGGCACUUCCUUCAUUAGCCAUUUGGCCUCAAACUGUCCACUCUUACCUGAAGUGGAGUUUUCCUGUCCAGUGGGAGCUCUGUGGACCGCGCCUGCUCGACUCUCCAACAACACGCACCUGAGAUACUAGCAAGGCUUCACUUCAGACAGCUGCUGUCUGUCAUUUGCCACAACACAUUAACAGCCCCCACUUUUUCCACGAGGCGUCAAGGAAGAUUGCCUGCAUGAAACAGACCCCGAAGAAACAAAACAAGUUGGAGCCCAUGUCUGCACCUCAAAAUAAACUGUCAAAAGCCACUUAAAUUCUGAUGUGCACUCCGAGGUGAAAGGUAAUCUUCAACUCCAUCAACCAAUCAGCAAAACAGAGUAACCUCCUCUUAUCUCCAGCAGUGCUGGGGGGGUGGGAUUCAUAAAUUGGUUUGAAGCGCCAAUUGCAGAGAAUCUGUCCGCAAAACGGCAUAGUGAAUCGAUAUGGCAGCAGCAUUAGAGAAGGUGGAGUGGGUCAGAUUGCUGUCUGCAUAUCUACACUGUAGUGCUGAACCAGCAUGCCACUUCACUCCGUAUGAUGGGGCAACAGAAAUACUCUCUUAUCAUUACAAGUAGGGCUGGGUGGUAUGAGAGACAGUAAAGACUUGUUAAUUAAACAGUGUUGUAAUGAUUCCUUAAUAAAGGCGAUGUAGUCAAUGAGCAAACAAAGCAACCUUUCUUCCACCAGCACUUACGAUGGUAGGACUUGCUUGAAGUGAAUAGAUCUGCACUUUCUUUGUUGUUUGGAGUUUGAUUCUCUAUGUAUGUUUGCACUUACUGUAAGUCGCUUUGGA